rnacentral:rRNA from 1 species
UACAGAGGUCUCAAGCGUUGUUCGGAUUCAUUGGGCGUAAAGGGCGUGCAGGCGGUUUGUUAAGUGCAGAGUGAAAGCUCCCGGCUCAACUGGGAGAGGUCUUUGCAUACUGGCAAACUCGAGGGAGGCAGAGGAAAGUGGAAUUCCCGGUGUAGUGGUGAUAUGCGUAGAUAUCGGGAGGAACACCUGUGGCGAAGGCGGCUUUCUGGGCCUUACCUGACGCUGAGACGCGAAAGCGUGGGGAGCGAACCGG